GAAGAGACCGCCGCGAGCGCCCCGGGAGCCUCUCCAGGUCCUCCUCCUAACAAGAGGAAUCGCGAGCUCCGCCCGCAGAGGCCAAAGAACACUCAGGUCCAAAAGAAGUCUCGGGUCUCCAAGAAGCCCCAGGUCUCGAAGAAAUCCCGACAGCGGAAGAAUGCUGAGUCCCAGAAGAGCGUGUCUGGGGCCCAGGACCCUUUCCCAGGCCCCGCCCCCGUCCCUGUGGAGUUAGUGCAGAAGUUCCGUCGCAUUGACAAAUCCAAAAAGCUACCCCAUUCUAAGUCCAAAACCCAAAGCAGACUUGAGGUGGCUGAAGACCAAGAAGAGGAAACAAGUGUCAGAAAUGCUCGUUCUGAGCUGUUGCUUGCUGAGGAACCUGGGUG